CUCAUCUCCUCCGCCGGAAAAUCAGAUGCUUCGUUUAAUCGCCGGCGCGGAGGACAACACUACACCUUUACAACUCCGAACUACGAUUCCUCUCCAGAUUUGCAACUAAAAUCCUAACAAAACAAUCUCAAACCCUAGAAAUUUGACACUAAAAAACCUCAAAUUCAUUUUCUUCUUCGACUGCUUACCGAUGCCUUCGUCGUACCUUCAACCUAGACGACAGAGACUGGCGUAAAAUCGAAUCGGAGAAGAAGUGGAUUCAACAAAUAGAUCGAAAAUUUGGAAAAAAAGACCACAAAUAUUUGGAAAAACUAACUGAUGAGAUAAGUGUCAUCACACAAAGUUCAUUUAUGGAAUAUUUUUCUCAAUUGCAUUCGGAAAUAUAGUUGAUAGACUCUAUUCAAGUUUACCAACUUUGUGACUAUUGACAAAAAAUUUUAUAACACUAUUAGGUUUACUAUUUAGCAAAAUCAUUGCAUAAAUGAAAAUUUUAGUGAAUUUCAGAAUGUGUAUAGAAAGUUAAUGGGGAUUAAACUAUUAUGCUUUUUAAUUAAAAAAAAAUACUUACACUUGUUUAAUGACAGGAAAAAAACUGAAAGACAAUGAAAUAUGCAAGAAGAAGAAGAAGGAAAAAACGAAGUAGCAGUCAGUUCAUCAAGCCAAUCAGAGGAAAUGAUCCCAAUAGAUUGCAAAUAGAAGUGACAAAAAAGGCAAAUCAUUGAACAGAAAUUGUAAAAUGAGUUGCAGGAACUUCUUGAUCCAAAAUAUGAAUGAAAGAUAGCACUCAAGAUUUCACAGAUGAGGUGCAUCACGGCAAUGACAAAUACAGCCGCCUCUCACUCUCAACUCUUCAGAAAAUGAAAGAGAAGGAAAAGAAAAGCGGCCUCUCUCUCUUCACUCUACAAUCAUUAUAGACAGAAGAUAACAUUGCAAGCAUGGGCGGCUACAAUACCUACUCUACUGCAUCAAGACAUCACCAUAUUAAAAAAAGGGAUUAAUUGCAUUGGGAAGAGUUGAGAAGAUAUUCUGGAAGAAUAAUAUAUAUAUAUAUAUAUAUAUAUAUAUAUAUAAUAGUAUUUUCUUACAAAAGCCUAUGCAAGUAUAAAACACAUAGGUUGCACCCUACCCCACACAAUUCUCGAUACGUACAAAGAAAACUGAUAUAAGUUCUUAAUCAACUGGACUUUACAAUAAGAUCACAAAUUUUAAGUCAAAGU